AUGGGUUUUGCUAGUGCUUGGGUCCAAAUGGUUAUGAGCUGCAUCAUUUCGGUAGAAUUUGUGGUUCUUAUCAACUGCAAGACGGGUAAUAGUUUUAAACCCUUAAGAGGCCUGAGACAGAGGGAUCCCAUUUCCCCAUAUCUAUUUAUUAUUAUAACUGAUAUGUUGUUAACAAUGAUAAACUGUGUUGUGAGGAUAGGCCUUCUUUAAGGAAUAAAAUUCAAUAGGGAGGGUCCAACCU
rnacentral:lncRNA from 1 species